AGCUUUAACACUCCUCCAUGGCUACUGUCGUUCCUUUUGCAUCCUGCUAUGCCAGUGUUGAGCCCCUGCAUUUGUUUGGUAGAGGACCCAGAGGGGCCAACUAUCUGUCCCUCUUAUAUACAUACCGGGGCCCUCGCUGCACCCCUCGACCACGCCUGGCAUGCCACGCUCCGAAGAUGACCCUGCGGCAGAUCUGUCGCAUGCUGAAGGUGAUGAAGAAGGUCAGGAACAGAGAGGCUGCGGCUGCUGCUGCUACCAGGAAGCAGGGGUCUGCGGCUCCUGCCCCGGGGUCGCCCUGCACCAAGUCGGAGAAGAAAUGCGUCCCGAGCUGUCUCAGACACAAACGCAGUAUAAAACGUGUUGGCUGACCCAGGACCCCUGGCCAACCGCACACAACCCUUUAUCCCCCCAGCAGAAAACCAUUUGCCACCCAGUUACAACUCUAACAGUGACAUGGUAGAUCGUCAAUCCUCCAAUGGGAAAGUUCAUUCAGAUUAUUCCAAUUUGGACAGCUAGCCGUGUGACUGAUGAUAUUGGAGGACGACGUUCCCUUGACUUAUGGUCCAUCAGGAGAGGAUGGCAUGAUUUUAUUCCUAAACACCCUGUGCUUUAGAAAGUGGAAGAUUUUUGGAGAUUUGGAGUGGAGAUUUUUUUAAAGACAAAAUUAUCACAAACUACUAUUUUUAAAGGGUUUUUUUGAGUGCUUUUUGUUGUUCAGCACAGUUUUAUUGAUUCCUGUUAUUCUUUAUAUUAAAUUUUUUGGUCCCCUUCAGUCUCCAAACCCAAGAUUAUCAGCACUUUUCCCUCUGAUCCUCUCAAGGAUUUGAGGAGUGAAACUCUCCUUCCCAUAAGACUUCUUUUUAAAGCAGCUUUUUUACUGUUUAAUUUGUUCACUUAUUGAAUAAAAACAUGUACUACUACUAAAUGCUUACCAUUAUUGGGGCUGUAAAAAGAGAAGACAACUUUAAAUAUGGCAUAGAUAACCAGCUAACAUCACAUAAAAAGCCACACACUGAAGAGGCUAUUACCAUGCAUGGUACAUGUGACAAUUCCACUAAAAUCAAUGUCUAAAAUUAAUGAUAUGGCAGCUGUUCACUCUGUUCUUUGCAUGUAGUGUUGUUUAUGUGAAUUUGUCUUUUAAAUGUGCAAUAAAACUUUAAGUAAUCAAUCAUAACAAAUUGUGACUGAACUGUCUUUGUGUGUUCCAAUGAAACAAAAUGACAUUAAAGCCCUCUCUAAACUCUAAACUAUUAUUAUACUAUUUAUGAACAAAAAAGCAACAAUCAAGGGUUUAACACUCAAAACACAUUUGGAUUCAAAUGUUGCUAAAACCUGAUAGGUGAACAGAAG
rnacentral:lncRNA from 15 species